rnacentral:rRNA from 1 species
GACGAACGCUGGCGGCGUGCUUAACACAUGCAAGUCGAACGGAGUUACGUAUGAAGUAUUUCGGUACGGACUACAUAACUAGUGGCGAACGGGUGAGUAACACGUGGGCAACCUGCCCUUAACCGGGGGAUAACAUUGUGAAAACAGUGCUAAUACCGCAUAACAGAGUAUCGGGCAUCCGAUAUUUUUAAAAGGAGCAAUCCGGUUUAGGAUGGGCCCGCGUCCAAUUAGCUAGUUGGUGAGGUAACGGCUCACCAAGGCGACGAUGGGUAGCCGGCCUGAGAGGGUGGACGGCCACACUGGGACUGAGACACGGCCCAGACUCCUACGGGAGGCAGCAGUCGGGAAUCUUCCACAAUGGGCGAAAGCCUGAUGGAGCGACGCCGCGUGAGGGAUGAAGGUCUUCGGAUCGUAAACCUCUGUCCUCAGGGACGAUAAUGACGGUACCUGAGGAGGAAGCCACGGCUAACUACGUG